UACGUAGGGCGCAAGCGUUGUCCGGAAUUAUUGGGCGUAAAGCGCGUGUAGGCGGCUGGCUAAGUCCGCUCUGAAAGCCCGGGGCUCAACCCCGGGAGGCGGGUGGAUACUGGUCAGCUCGAGUCCGGAAGAGGAGUGUGGAAUUCCUGGUGUAGCGGUGAAAUGCGCAGAUAUCAGGAGGAACACCAAUGCGAAGGCAGCACUCUGGGACGGUACUGACGCUGAGACGCGAAAAGCGUGGGGAGCAAACAGG
rnacentral:rRNA from 1 species